UUUCCGGAAGUCCACCACGCACAACCGGAAAUAAAAAAAAAUUAGAGGAAAAAAAAUUAAACGCGUUACGUAAUUAAUUACAUAAUUAAACAUUGCGAAGUUAUUAUCUAUUUAUUAAGGAUUAGAUUCCUAUUAUUUUUAUCGAUGUCUGAUUUACAAGCGAAAAAAUAUAUAUUUGGAAAGAUUUGUUUAUGGUAACGCGCACGCGAGAGAAGAGAGUGAACUGGACAUCAACCUUUUUCUCAGCGGUUGCCAGAUUUGUGCAAAAACAGCACCUGUGUAACAAAAACACCUCACUAACGCAAUACACCUCUAAGAAGAACAACAAGAAGAAGAAAAACACAUUAAUAAGAUCAGUCAAUAAUGAUGUUAUACAAUACUUUAAUUUUCCGACAUUUUUACUUUUUGCUACUUACAAAAACAUAGAAGCCAAUAGACUCCAUUUCUAAACUAUAUCAGUGUCUUGGUGAAAGGAGGAAAGAUUGCCUUAUGUAUGAUUUGUCUUUCAUAUUUUUCUCCAUUUUCCUUCCAUAGCUUCCUCUCCUCUUAUACUGCCACAAAUUCUCAGUCAGACUGAGGUUUGGCCUUUGACUGCACUAUUCGAACACAUUCAGACUCCUGGUUUUGACCCACUCCAGUGUACUUUCACAGCACGUUUAGGCUCAUUGUCCUGUUGAAAGGCGAACCUCUGGGUGUAAAAUAUUUUUUUAUAGGUUUGCCCCAUUUUUUUCCCACCCAUCCUGCCCUUUCACCAGUUGCUCAGUUCCGUCUGAUGAAGAGCAUCCCUACAACAUGAUGCUACCGCCACCAUGCUUCACUGUCGGCAUGGUGUUUUCAGGGUGAUGUGAAGUGUUGGGGUUCCAACAAACGCACAGCUUUGUGCCAAGGCCAAGAAGGCACAUUUUGGUCUCAUCAGACACUUCUUCAUAGUGUGUGUGCUUUGUCCAGUCGCGAGCAUUGGGACUUUUAUUUUGAAGAGAAUACGAGUACUUUUAUGAUCGCUGUAGGAGUUUGCAGACGUUGUUCGUCUUGUGGAUAGCUCACCAUCCAGUGUUUAGUGAGGACGGUUCAUGCAAUGCCAGUCGUUUAGGCACUACAGCUCAUCUGGGGACUUUAUUCAUGAUUCAUUGCAUUACACAGCAACUGAACAAUGCUGGCCACGUGGAGGAGAUGACCACGUGGUUGGAUUAAUAACUUUCUCUUGAUGACUUUGUUUGCUGAAACAGACUGAAAAGUGACUGACCCAAUGAUUAGACUCACUACCCAUCUGACCCUGUUUAUGGGAAGGAUUAUUUACUCUAGUAUGAGGGUCCAGUCUAUAAAAUCACCUCAGUGUGUUUUUGUGAUAACCAGAGCCUGAAGUUUUCAUCCCACAUAUAACCUGUUCUCUUUUUUGUUUUUUGUAUUUUUUUUUUUUAGGAGGAAUCUGAUGAAGACAAACAAGCCUUGGGAUUUUCAGGCAUCAACAGACAUUCGGGCAUUUCAAAUGUUAUUGUGUGGCAGUUUAACUAAUUAAAAUACUUUUUGGGGGGAUAUGUGUGUAUAUAUUUGUUAGACAGGGUGUGUUAUCUGCAUCACAUGAAAAUAUGACUUGCAAAAGUAACUUUUAAAAGUAAAAAGUUUACUUUCAAAAGUAAAAUUUAACUUCUUUUAAUGUUUAAAUCUUAUUAAAAAUGGAUCUGUGUCAAGUGAAAUAAAAAUUGGAAGUUUCCACAACUGAG